CCCCAUGGCCCAGACAGCCUGAGAUUCCCCCCAGAGAGGAGCAAAAGAAGGAGCAGACCCCAUGUUGUGCCCCCAUUUUGGGGCUUUUCCUCAGUACCUGAGACUGGACUGACCUCUGAGGACAGCUGAGGAAUGGGACAAGAACCAUCCAUCUCAGAGAUGCUGCUGCUGCCCCUGCUGUGGGCAGGUUCUGGGGCUCAGAGUGGAAUAUUCCAGCUGCAACUACGGGAGUCAGUGACGGCGCAGGAGGGUCUUGGGGAGGCGAGUAUUGAGAGCGCCAGCAGUAUUGAGCCCUGACAGAUCAAUAAUCACUCUAAGUGUAAAUGGAUCGAAUUCUCCAAUCAAAAGACACAGAGUAGACCGAUGGGUUAAAAAAACAACAGCUAACAAUAUGCUGCCUGCAGGAAACACAUCUCAGCUCUAAAGACAAACACAGGCUCGGAGUGAAGGGAUGGAACAUGAUACCCCAAGCAGAUGGCAAGCCAAAGACAGCAGGUGUUGCCAUAUUUGCAUCAGAGAAAGCAGACUUCAAGGUGAAAAAGAGAAUGAAAGACAAAGAGGGGCGGUAUAUAAUGAUAAAAGGGACAUUCUGCCGAGAGGAAAUAACACUUAUGAAUAUAUAUGCACCUAACACAGAGCACCAAAGACAAAAUCUUGCCAUUUGUGACAACGUGGGUGGACCUUGAGGGUAUUAUGUUAAGUGAAAUAAGCCAGACACAGAAAGACAAACACUGUAUGAUUUCACUCAUAUAUGGAAGAUAAACAAGCACAUGGACAGGAGAACAGAUCAGUGGUUAGCAGAGGGGAAAGGAGUUGGUGGAGGGAAAAAGGGGUAAAGGGGCACAUAUGUAUAACAAUGGAUACAAACUAGACUGCUGGUGGUGAACAUGGUGAGGUCUACACAGAAACUGAUAAAUACUAAUGCCCACGUUAAAUUUACA
rnacentral:lncRNA from 1 species